UUAGUUAGGUGCAUGGUUGGAGCGGAUAGCAAUUGUUUUUUAUAUUCUUUUCUCGGAUUCUACGCAAUGCAACUGUGCAUUGGGAACGUGAGGGAUUAAUUUAGAACCAUCCGUUUUAAUUCCUCCUGUCAUCUAAACCGUCCAUAUGAACCGAUAGUAUAUAUUUUUUAUCCUAUUAUAUUGACGGUUUGGAUGACAGGAAGUUUUGGUACGAACGGUUUGUUAGAGGCUUUUGUAUAUUUUUCCUAUCCUCACUUCUGCUUCUGUGGGGCAGACGCCCUCGUCGCAACUUCCCCUCUGCAUCUGAGAGGACGAUCGGGUAACGGAAUGGCUUCUCCGACAAAAUGGAAGCCGGAGCGACGCUCCUUCCUCGGCGGCCUCCGCUCGCCCUCGAACCGUACGACCAUCUUCUUCCUUUCUCGGAUCGAACUUCAAUUUAUCUUUCAUUGAUUUCUGGCGGAUCAUAAACAUGGUUUUCAUGGAGGUAAAGAUGCCAUGGAAUUCGAUAAUUUCACCUCAACUGCUCGAUGCAAAAGGAACUCUACUCCAUAAAGCUAUCAUCCUACGUCAUAUGGAUGACAUUGCAAUUAGAAAGGCAUCCGAGGAGCAUGGUUAACUGUGUUGCAGUUACUAGCUUGAACUCGAUAGGCGAAGGAAAGGUUCGAGACCUGCCAGGAGAUGUUCUCUUCCCUGCCUGGAUCUGUGGCAUGGAGUAUAGCAUCAAGGAUUGGUUGAUCUCAGUCAAUCCUUGCACCUUGGGGUAUCUAUCAUAUGUAUGCUGCUUGAUGGUUUUGUCGUGGAUAGUUGACUAGCCCGUGACUGGAUUCCAGUACUUGGCAACUAAUGUGUUUCAGAUCAGGGUUGAUUGAUGCCUUCGUUCCUUGAUUGUUUUCUGUUAUUAUUUUGUGAUCUACUGUUGGUUCGAAAGAGUAAUACCGUAUCUCACUGUUAUUAUUAUGGACUCAAAA